CAGCGCGGGGCCCGCCGGAGCCCGAGCGGCUUCCGGCCCAAAGGGAGACGCACUUGAGUGAUCGCGAGGAGCAAACUUGGCGCUCUCGGCCCCGGGCCUCGGAGAGUCGCACUGCAGGGCUGCCCCCCGCCCCUUUCUGGCCGGCCCCGGACCCUUAGGCUCUACGGACCAGCAGCAGGACCCCCAGAGAGACCUUCCUCAAUGAACCCUGACCUCAGCCCUGGGCCAGCGUUGCCUCAUCUCUCAGGAUCCUGUGCACACAAGCCCAGGGGAAAGCGGCGAAAUCUGCGCAGCCGCCCCCACUUCCCCUUCCCCCAUCCGGCUACAGCUCUGGGGCGAGACAGUUGUUGGGCCGAAGCCUGGACGUCUCUCGAUCCCUUCCUCCACCCGGAUCUCCGCCUGCUCCAGAGCGAUUGGCUUCCCCGGCCCGGGCGGGAGGCGGGAGCCUCCAGAACCGGAGACCUGCAAGGACGAACGUCAGGCGGCGGGGCUCCCCCCACACAGGAGCCGGGCUCCGGGUCAGAGUUCAGAGAGAGGUCGGACCCACUGCUUGCACAGAAAUGACCGAGCUCCCAGCGGGUGCGCCUUCGCCGCUGACCACCUGCCCUGCCCGCCCGCUGUUGCCCACACCUCUCGUACCCUCCACUUCUCGGAGGAAACGUCUUUCUCUCCUUUCACCCUGCCUGGCCACGAUCACCUCCCAGCACCCCUAUCCUGGGGCUGCGUAGUGGGGGGGCUCGCUUGAGCCCCCCUACGGCCUCAGCACCGCGCGGCGGCUGAGACCUGAGCGAGCUGCGGAGCCUGCGGACUCUGGUUCGCGGGAAGAGGGUUGCGGGCCCAGGGUGAAAACAGCACGGCCCCGCAGCCGCCGGACCUGGGGCUCUGGCUUCCCGGCGACCGCAUUGCCACAGGCUUCCCCCUCGCCUGAGAGACACGCAGCUGGGGGCAGGGGUCAAGGGGACGCUUCCAGGUGUGUCAGAGCGUCAGCCUCAGGGGUAAGUGCCCCUACUGUCUAAGUGCGUCCUGGGUUUCUGGGCCCGGGGGGCCUGUUUUUCUGUCCGCGUGUGUGUGCCCCUCCGGACGGUGGUGGCUCUGUGUCCGACCGGCGCCUGUCCCGAGUGCUAUCCUGCCAUCCGCACGAUUGAGGGGACUGCCCUGGAAGCCUUGCGAUCCAGGCCCACAGCUCUACCCCAGAGCCCGAAGCGGCGCGACCUCGUGGGAAUUGCGAACCCACCCCAGGCCCACCGCGUGACCCUGGCGGGGAAGGAGGAUGUGUGGGUGCAAACCUGGGUACGGGUUUGGGACUACAGCCGGGAGAGAGAGGAGAGCGUACGGUCACGGCGCUGCGGAGAGCCAGGAGACUAGCGGCGGCCUCCUGCCCACCCCAUUGCACGUCGGCCGCUGGAGCAGCAAGACCUCGGACCCGGACGCAAUUCGGCAGCCCUGAAGUGGGGCAAGACUGGAGGGAAGGGAGGAGGGGGCCCAGCCGCCCGAACCCGGUGACCGACGCAACGCACACGCACACACGCCGUCGCCUUUAGCCUUUCGGAGGCCCAGGUAGGGUAGCUGGUGAGACCGUAAGUCCCUGGGUGGUUGGAGACAUGAUGCUGGUUGCCUGACCUCUCUGGAGCCCGUGUGGAGCCGCGUAAGCCCCACAGAAACAGAGCGAGGAGACCAGAGGGAGUCUCGGCCUUGCCCAGUAGAUGCAGGUGACGGAUUCCUGGGGAACAGCGACCUCUGGAGGAGCGGCGCGUCCACACAGAGAGUCAGGAACUGGACGACCAGGUCUAGGACCAAAGCGCCCUUUCUCCACCCCACCCCUUUGGCAAAGUCAUCCAGAGACUCAUAACCUCCGGACUCCUCUUUGCGCAUGCUUGUGGCCCUUCCCAACCUGUACUUAUACUUCAAAGCCUUGCUCAAAUCCUGCUUCCUCCAGAAAGAAGCCCUCUGGAGAGCCCAAAGCAUCUUGCUCUCUUUCUGCUCUGAGCUCCUCAGAACUGAAAGCCUGAACCCUUGACUCCAGCGCUCGCACACCGCGCUGCACAGCCGACCUGCUUCCUGCCUCGCCCUUCCCCAAAAGACCGUUAAUCCAUAUACUCCACCCACCCUUUGCAUUGCACGCUGGGUGUGCUGUUUUUCUUUCCCUCCAGUAAAUAAAGACUGAAGUCAUUUAUCCCA
ensembl:lncRNA